AUUGAACGCUGGCGGCAGGCCUAACACAUGCAAGUCGAGCGGAUGAAGGGAGCUUGCUCCUGGAUUCAGCGGCGGACGGGUGAGUAAUGCCUAGGAAUCUUCCUGGUAGUGGGGGAUUACGUCCGGAAACGGGCGCUUAUACCGCAUACGUCCUGAGGGUGAAAGUGGGGGUUCUUCGGACCUCACGCUAUCAGAUGAGCCUAGGUCGGAUUAGCUAGUUGGUGGGGUAAAGGCCUACCAAGGCGACGAUCCGUAACUGGUCUGAGAGGAUGAUCAGUCACACUGGAACUGAGACACGGUCCAGACUCCUACGGGAGGCAGAAGUGGGGAAUAUUGGAAAAUGGGCGAAAGACUGAUCCAGCCAUGCAGCGUGUGUGAAGAAGGUCUUCGGAUUGUAAAGCACUUUAAGUUGGGAGGAAGGGCAGUGAGUUAAUACCUGGCUGUUUUGACGUUACCAACAGAAUAAGCACCGGCUAACUUCGUG
rnacentral:rRNA from 1 species